CCCGAGUCGCGUCAUUGCGCAAGGCUUGGGGAGCGCUGUCGGGUUCCACGUGACUCCUCCUGGGGCCUCCGUCAAAGGGAAGGCGGGGAACACCAAGUGGGUUCGUGCCUCUCGCUUUGUGACUAGACCAUGCCAGAACUGGGACUGGUGACUGGGACUGGUGACUGGGGCUGCUGACUCUGGUGGCCAGCUGUGCUGCCGCCCUCUCUAUGAUGACUUUCUAGACCUUGGAAGAAACGAGAAAGGUGAGCAAUCUUCAAUUUGUUUCAGAAGAAAGAAAAAUGGUGCUGGGUGUUGAACUCCCAGCUUACCGAGUGUGUAGAAAGUAUGCUACCAAUGAGCUAAAGCCAGAGUCUGACGGAGUCUGAUGGAUAGCGGUUCUGAGGAACAUGGAACGAAAGCACAGAAGCAGGCUGAGGUAGGUGAGAGUUGGCUAGAGUUCUCAGAAAACAAAAUGAAACAGUACUGAGUUCCUAUGACGUUAGACACUAAGCGUCUACAACUGCAGAUCAGUUCAAAAGACUACUCAGAGAUCCCCGGUUGUGCCAGCCUCUGGCCUGAAGUCCAAGAUGUCUAUAGCGGUAGCCAACAGAAAUGUGUUACCUUCUACUUUGACGUAUUUUUCAUUAUCUUGUGACUUUGUUGUUGUUGUUGUUGUUGUUUUUAAACAGGACCUUCUUUGUGUCACUCCAGGCUUGCCUUGGACUUGUGGCAAUCCAACUACCUCAGCCUCCUGGGCACUGGGAUUACAGGCAUGUUCUCCCAUGUGCAGAUUCAGCAUGCUACCCUUUUUAACACAACACCUGAUGAUCCCUUAACAAAACCGAAAGGCUUCUGGGAGCUUAUGACAAAUCCAUUUAGUGGGGAAAACUGGCACAAUGUGACAUGAAAUUAGUAUUUUUAUGGCACUAUCGUACAACAUCCAUAUAUAUCAGUAGAGAAGUAACAAUUAUUUGUUUUGGAUUCUUGAGACGGGGUCUUCCUAAGUAACCCACGCUGGCUUUGAAUUUACAGUGGAUUUCCUGCUUUCUGCUUUACGAGAUGCUGGGAUUAGAGGUCUAUGCCACCACGCCUGGCAGUUGAAUUAUGGUUUUGAUUGCUACCAAAAAGAUCGAACAUAACUUUGAAGAGACGCAUGUUAGAAUUUAGCCGUGGUGAUGUUUCAGAAGGUCUAAAUGUGUAUCAUGCACGUAAACUUACAAUACAAACAUGACGGAUCACGACCUGGAAGUCUUAAGCCAGAUAACUUUCCUCUCCAUGUUGCUUGGCAACAGAAAGGAUAGUAAACAGUUGGGUUCUCCAAUGUAGGAACCCAGGCCUGUGGUUGAGUGCCUUUGCUCUGUUUAUUUUCAUUCUGGGCUCUAAGCUGUAGGGCAUUAGCUAACAUGGGAUGGAUUGUGGGGACAGAAAAAGAUCCAGCAGAAGCAUGACGUCUUUUGCCCACUCCCAAACAAUUAACGUACUACCACUUCCGCCCAGGUACCGCUGACUGAAAUAACUCGUGCAGAUGAAGUGUAAUAUUAGUGAUGUGAAAGAAAUACAUUCCUGAGGGGUUGGGGAUUUAGCUCAGUGGUAGAGCGCUUGCCUAGCAAGCGCAAGGCCCUGGGUUCGGUCCCCAGCUCCGAAAAAAAAAAAUAAAUAAAUAAAUAAAUACAUAAAUGAUUUUUUUUAAAGAUUUGUUUAUUUUAUGGAUGUUUUGUCUCCACGUACACCGUGUACACCAGAAGGUGACAUCAGAUCCAAUAAGGCUAAAAUAGUUACAGAUGGUUGUGAGACACCAUGUGGAUGCUGGGAAUUGAACUCAAGACCUAUGGGAGAGCAGCCAGUGUUCUUAACCGUUGAACCAUCUGUUCAGCCCAUAAGUAAAUUACUAGAGAAAUGCCUUCUUAAAUGUCAAAGGGUAUGAAGGUAUAGUUUUAGUACAGAGGUAGAGGCAGGAGGAUCAAGAGUCUGUGGUCAGCCUCACUCAAAAAACAAAGUAAAACAAACACAGAGAACAGAGACCUCUGCUAGUUCCUGCUCCUGAGGAAACCAUCCUGAAGGGUUUGCCUUUGUUCUUGAUGGCUUAUGUCUGGUACCUAGGAACACAUAAAACACAGGCAAAUCACAUGUGUCGGCCACAGAGCCUAGGUAUUCUUCCCGUGAACCUCUUUUCUGUAGCAAGUUAAAUAUGUCCUAGAUGGCUUGUCUUCCUGAGACACUGGUCAGACGACUUGAACCAUUUGCUAAUAAAAGAGAUUCCUCAAGAGCAGGCAUUGGCACAUUAAAGCUUAUAAACCAAGUCCAACUCGUGGCUUUUCUCUCAUGCCGCAAACUAAGAACUGUGGGAUUUUUUUUGUUGUUUUAAUUGUUUUUCUUUUUUUUUUUUUAUCUUCAUAAGUGUGCCCAUGUGUUUUUUUAUCUGGCGAACCAUCUCACCAGCCCCAAAAUUACUUUAAAUUUUAUUUUUAUUGCCUUCCAUUAUGUGCAUGUGUGCAUCUAUGUGUGGGUAUAUGCACGAGUUUAGGUGCCCAAGAAGACCAAAGCUGUUAGCCCUCCUGGUCCUGGAGGUACAGACAGGUGGAAGCCCGGAGCGGGUGCUGGGAACCGAACUUGGGUCCACGGUGGGAACAGUACUCACUUUUAACUUCAGAGCCACCUCUUCAGCCCCUCCCAGCCACUCAGAUUUAUAUCUAUGAAUUGCUCUUGCUUGAUUUCCAGCCUCACAUAGAUAGACCCCUUUUGCAUCUUUUUCAUUACUGCAUGGCUUCUUUGACUCGGUAGAACAUUUUUAAAAUCCGUACUGUCGCCUGUGUUUGUAGUUUCUCCCUUGUUAAUGCUGAGUGUCUGAUUGAACAAAAGCCCUGGACUUUGUUUCUUUGCUCUCCUGACAAUGGAUACGUGGGUUUUUCCACUGCUGGCCAUUAUAAACAGUCAAAACAUCUUCAGCUGAGUAUACUUAAGAAAACCAUUAGUUCUUUCUUUUGGUGUAUCUGCGUGUACAUGUAUGUGAAGGUCAGAGGUCAAAUGAGGUGUCAUACUUGGGGAGUUGCAUACCUUGAUUUCCCACCAAUUAGGCAAGGCUGCCACCCAGUGAGCCCCACAGAUCCUCCUGACUCAGUUGUCCAGUGCUGGGAUUUCAAGUUCAUCUCACCACGCCUGGCUUUUAUGUGGGUCCUGGGGAUCCCACCUGGACUCUCACGUUCAUGUAGCAAGUGCUAUCUUCUCUGUCCUCCCAAAUCAUGGUUUCUAGGAAAAACUAUGUUCAUAUGUUGAAGGAAAUAUGGAAAGGAUAUUUGGGGGAGGGGCAUGGUCUUUAAUAUGUAACCUUGGCUGGCCUGGGAGUCUCUAUGCAGAUCAGGCUGCUCUUGAACUCACAGAGACCUGCCUGCCUCUUGUCUUCCUAGUACUGGGGUUAGAGGUACACCAUACCUGCCUGGAGAAGAUAUCAUAAAACACAAGGCAGACACGAGGAAGGUGGAAAUUAUGAUGAAGAAUAAAAGUCACUAGGAAGAUAAAUCUAAAAAGCCCGAGUUGUCUGGAAAGAAAAGGAAGAGAAAACAGAAAGGUGAUAAUUAAACAAAUGCUUUUAAAAAUGUCCCUCCCUCAAAUACAGACUUGCAUCUGCCUGCGUUCCCCGGCGAUGCGUGUGGAAAGACGCGCCUAGGCACGCCCUGGGUUAGUCUUCAUAAAGAGAAGAGCUUUAAAAUGUUUUAUUUCUCAGAAGUUAGAAGAGGGAGGGGCUGAUGAGAGAUAUCUGUGGUGCUCUGUGGCUUUGACUUCUCACCAAAUCCCCUGGAAGCUACACAGGACAAAGCGGUCAGCUUGGCCCAAAUUCCACUGCAGAGUCAGGUGACGGAGAACAUGCAAACCUUCACAAACAUGCCUCUCAUGGACUUCCUAUUAGGGCUCACUAGGAGUGAACGCUAAAAUAGGAGAGGCACUUGUGACGGCCAGUUAAGUGUCAACUUGACAUAAGCUAGAUUCAUCGUAAAGAGGAAACCUCUAUGGAGAAAAUGCCUCCAUAAGAUCCAGCUGUAGGAUAUUUUCUUAAUUAGUGAUUGACAAUGGUGUGUGUGUGUGUGUGUGUGUGUGUGUGUGUGUGUGUGUGUGUGUGUGUGUGUGUGUGUGUGUGUGUGUGUGUGUGUGUGUGUGUGUGUGUGUGUGUGUGUGCACCCCUCCACAGCCUCUGCAUUAGCUCCUGUGUCUCCAGGUUCCAGUCCUACUUGGGUUCCUGUCCUGACUUCCUUCAGUGAUGGACCUUGAAACCCUUUCCUCCCCAGGUUUCUUUUGGUCAUGAUGUUUCAUCACAGAAACAGUAAUACAAGCUGUAACUACGUGGUUGUGAAGUGUGAGGCCUGAGAAUCAGGUGAGGUUACCUGGUUCUCACAGCCAGACCAUGUGUUUAUUGAGGCUACUUUCUUCAAAUUGAAACAUUACUUCCUGAAGGAAAGCUUCUGAAGAUUCAGGCAGUGAAACUUUUGCAAACCUCAGAAAAAAAAAUAAAUAAAAUUCACCCAUCUCAGGAAGUUCCUGAAACUUACAAGAUUCACAAGGUCCCCCUCCCCAAGAUUGUGAUCAGAAACUGUUGCUGGGGAAAGGAAAACCUUGAACCAGCUGAGUUGUAUCUGUGUUAUACAGGGGUGGAUGCAGCCUUUUUGGGUUGUCUCUGGUGCUGUUGUGAACUUUAGAUAAUGCAGCUGCCUUUCCUGUCCACGUUUCUGCAAUAAUCCUGCACCUAUACUCUUAUAAAUAACACUAAUUUUAAUUCAUUUGCUGGUGCGUUAAGCUCAUGUUGGGUGCAUUCUUUCUUUGGACUGUCAGUGGCACACUAUUGUAUGAAUAGAAGUUCUUUCCUCUCUCCAGGAAAAGUUACGUGGCAUCCUGUCUCAAUAAAUAAAUGAACAAAAUAAGGAGUGACUGACUAAAUGAAUGAAUAAAAAUAAAAAUGGAAAGAAAUAAAACAGUUUCAAAAACCAGAACUGGACAGUGAGGAGUCAGGAGAAAAGGUGCUUAAGUUCCAGCCCUGAAACCUAUCUGGAGGUAAGCAGAGAGAACAGGCUCCCCAGAGUUGUCUCUGACCUCCACAUGCAUGUAUGGUGCAUGUGACCUCUUCUUGCUAAUAAACACACACAGGUCUCAUCAAGUUAGGGAUACGGGGGAAGAGGAAUCUGAAGUAGGUAAUUUACUUCAAAUACCCAAGGCAGGGGAGGAGAACAACAAUGUAACAGACUUAAAACACAACUGUUACAGAUCGCUGAAAAGACUAAGGAUACCUAGAAAAUGCUGACUGAAGUGAAACCAAAUUAUCCAUUUAGCUUGAUGAAACCAGUGAACUUGGUGAGUAGAGCAGGCAGUUAACUGGUUCUAAAAGUUUGGGGGGCGGGGAGGGGAAGGACUGAAGAGAAAUAACUUUCUAAGAAUUGUCCUUUGUUUAGUUGAAAUGAAGGCACAGCAGGGGAACUGGAGAGAAGGCUCGCUGGGCAGGUGGUUUGAUCCACAGCAGCCAGUCCAAUGGCUCACAACCUUCUGUAACUCCAGCAGCUCUGAGGGGUCCCAAGCCUUCUUCUGUCUCCUAAUGGCAUGCAAGGAAGGAAGCAACAGAAAACGUGUUCUUGUUGAGUAUUAGAGAAUGUUUACUAGUGAGUGUUAGAACCAUCAAUUAAACGGAAUUUAGGGAUAGUACAGUUUUUCCCACUUCACUUAGUUUGCGCUUGUGCACCUGUGGAAGGCAGAGGAAGACUUGCAGGGAUACAUUGUCUCCUUCCACCUUGGGGACCAGAGAUUAAACUGAGAUUGGCAGGCUUGGUGCAAAUGCCUUUACUUGAUGAAUCAUAUUGCCAGCCUAGCAAGCAUUUUUUAAAAGCUUUAAAUAUACUUCCCUGCUACCAAACUGAUAAGGAAGUAACAUGGAGCAACAUAAUAAUAAGAUUUACGCGAGAGGCGGGACUCAGACAGUAACUUAAAAAGUGUCAAGUCUGCAAAAAUGGUUCAGUGAUUAAAGAGCACUGGAUGCUCUUCCAGAGGACCCAGGCUCAAUUUCCAAUAACCAAAUGGUGGCUCACAUUUGCCUGUAACUCCAGUUCCAGGGAAUCCAACACCCUCACACAGAAAUAAGUGCAGGCAAAAUACCAAAUCACAUUAAAUAAAAAUAAAAAGAUUUGAAAAAUUAAAAAAUAAUAAUUAAAAAAAUUUUAGAGUUAAAGAUUAGUGUUGGGAAUACAGCUGAGAUUUACAGUACAUGCCCAGCAUAUACAAGGCUCUAGAAAAUUCCUAGCACUGGAAAAAAAAAUUAAGCAUUAAACCAGAAGAAAACCAGCAGGAACUAAGGAAGCCAGCAGUGCCUUAAGAGAAAUAGUAAGGGCUGGAAAGAUGGCUCAGUAGGAGAGCCUGCUUAUCCUACAGACUACAUGAGUUCAGCUCCCAGCAACCACACCAAGCAGUUAACAGCCACCUGCAAAUCCAACUCGAGGGGAUUUGGGACCCAUUUCUGGGCUCUGCACAUACACAAACGCAUAUCAACAUAUUCCUAAGAGAUUUUGAAGAAAAGCGGAUAAAUAACUAACAAUGAUGAUAAUAGUUUCUGAAGAAAGAAACCAAAAGAGCCAGGCAUAGCGGCAUAUGUCUAUAAUCAGUCCCAGCAUCCAGGAGCCAGAGGCAGGAGGAUCAAAAGUUCAAGUCCAGCCUGAGCUGUGUAAUGAGACUCUGCUAAAAAUGACAAAAACAAAUAACCAAAAACCAAAACAAAACAAAGUAACCAAAGAGUAGCCUAACAGAACACUCUAACAGAGGACAGACUAGGGGAAAUAGGAAAACCACACUUUGAUGGAGCCCGUUUUAUACCUGAGAGUGAUGGAGCAGGAAGCCCAACGCUGACUCAUUGUCUAGUAAAAUUACUAGACUUUAGAGGAAAAAUCCUGGGAGCAUUUUAGGGGGAAACAAACCAAUGAUUUAUAGCGACAGCAAAAGAGACUCGCGUCAGAUGUUUUCCAGUUAGAAAAUGAAAAUAUGUCAGUUUAUAAUAGUGUGUGUGUGUGUGUGUGUGUGUGUGUGUGUGUGUGUGUGUGUGUGCCUGUGCGCUCGUGAGAGCAAGCAUAUGUUAAGGUUCUCAGUUUCCACCAUGUGUGUCCCCAGAAUAGAACUCAGGCCGCCAAGCUUAGCUCCCUCACCUGCUGAGACAUCUCCCUGCCCCCUCUCCUGUUUUUCUUGGUCUUCUUUCUCUAGUAAUGCUAGUGCUAUUGCUUGGAACCUGUUGGAAGCACAGUGAGGCAAACAGACAGAAUACUCAUGGGCUGGAGGGAUGGCUCAGUGGUUAAGAGCACUGACUGCUCUUCCAGAGGACCUGAACCAUCUGUAAUGAGAUCUGAUGCCCUCUUCUGGUGUGUCUGAAGACAGCUACAGUGUACUUAUAAUAAAUAAGUAAACAAACAAAUAAAUCUUUUUUAAAAAAAGGAUAAUCGUGGGAUAUUCUGAAUCUGAGUUCCCUAAUACACUUGCUAACUGGGAUUCUGGGUGCAGAAAUUAGAAGACACAGAUGUAGGGCAGGAAAAAUGGCUCAGAGGUUAAAAACUCUGGUUGAGUUCAAUUCCCAGCCACCACAUCAUGGCUCACAGCCAUCGAUAAUGAGAUCUGCUGUCCUCUUUGGCCUGCAGGCAUACACACAGUCAGAACACUGUAUACAUAAUAAAUAAAUCUUGGGAGGAAGAGGAGGAGGAGGAAGAGGAAGAGAGGAGGAGGAAAACAAAGAUGUAACACCAACCAAAGAGGUUAUGUGCAUGAACUCAAGAGUCCUUUUAUUAUUUUUUUUUUCUUUUUUUCGGAGCUGGGGACCAAACCCAGAGCCUUGCGAUUGCUAGGCAAGCGCUCUACCACUGAGCUAAAUCCCCAACCCCCGAGUCAUUUUAUUUUUAAAAUACACAUUUUCUAGUUCUGUCCCAUGAAAAGGUCAAAGUUACUGAUACAAUAGUAAGAGCACUCCUAGCACCGGGACUUGUCAUCUAUUAUAACCCUCCUUAGCCUAAAGGAACAGCGGCGGCGUCCGAACUGAUUGUACCAGUCAGGAUUAGAAAGCACAGGAUGAUUCUAAAACAGAUGAUCUCCGGCAGCACCCAAAACAAGAGGAUGUGAGCAUGGAUGGUAUGAAAGACAGCGGCACACCCGUAGGAUCCUGUGAAAGACAAGGGCACAGGCACACAGCCGCACGCACUUGAUCUCACAAUCACAUGUAUUUCUUCUCCAGUUAGGCAUGUUUGGGAUGGGCAAGGUAAUGAACACAGGGAUGUACACCAGGAAGUGGGGUCCAGGACGACGACUUCCUUCUCACAUCUGUAAGGAAGUGCUGAGAGGCUGGCCUGUCCAGUUGGUUGUCGGAAUGGUAGAUUGCUGGCCAGAGACAGCAUUACUGUAGCAGAGCAUGACCCAGGGGUGUUAAGAUCCGCCAGGUGCUUCUCAACAUCUCAACUUUUCUUUUUUUUUUUUUUUUUUUUUGGUUCUUUUUUUCGGAGCUGGGGACCGAACCCAGGGCCUUGCACUUCCUAGGUAAGCGCUCUACCACUGAGCUAAAUCCCCAGCCCCUCAACUUUUCUUUUUAUUUUAUUGGAUAUUUUCAACUUUUUUUUUUAAUUGUGUGUAUCCGUGUGUGGCUAUGUAUAUGAAAAGGUGAGGUGUCCACAGAGUCCAGAAGAGGGGAAUCCGUUUCCCUGGAGUUACAGGCAGAUGUCAGCACCUGAUGUGGAUGUUGGGAACUGAACCCGGGAUCUCUGAGUUCAUCUUAUGUCUUUGAGUAUUCUGUCUGCGUGUGUGCAUGUGCGUCCGUCCCAUACAUGCCGUGCCUGGUGCUCACAGAGACCAAAAGAGGGCAUCUGAUCCCUUGGAACUGGAGCUACAGACAGUUGGACUGAACCACCCGGUUUGGCUCGGUGACUCAGCCCUGUGUCUGCUACUCGUCUGGAGGUCACCUGGGAGCUGUCCUGAUUAUCAGAUCUAUUAUUGCUGUCCUUGCCUCCAGGUCCAGGAGGCCAGAGGAUGGUAUCGAAUUCCCCGGAAGUGGAGUUAUGGGAAGUUGUGAGCCAUCAUGGGGACGCUGGAAAUCGAACCCAGGUCCUCUGCAAGGGCAGCAAGGGCUCUUAACCGCCGAGCCAUCCCGCCAGUCCCUAAGAGAUUUCGUGUUGUGUGUGUGUGUGUGUUUUUUUUAACAUCCUGAACUUUGAGCUGAUGUAAACGUGUUCAGUAAAACCACAGGAGUCCAUUGCUUCACGACAAGCCCGGAAAGAUUAGACUAUAAUUGAAAGAUGGUAUGACUCACAGUAGCACAUACCUUCAAGCUCUUUAUUUCCCCUUCAGAGAAACAAACAUGAAGGAGGCUUCUUUUCAAAGAAGCAGUUUUUCAAUGCGCACACUGAUGAAGUUCCUUCGGGGCUUCAUACUUUCACAACCAACUAAGCCAGCCAACCAAUCAACAAACGAAAAAAGAUGAAACAAAACCCCCAAAUUAAACUAACCAAAUUCGUUUUUGACCCUGCCUGACAAAGAAAAGAACUGAAACAACUAAACUACUUUCCCUUUCCUUUUGAGACAGGGUCUCGGUCUGUGUCCCAGAUCGGUCUGGAGUUCUAGAAGGUCCAGGAUGCAUAGUCUGGGAUGGCCUGAGUCCCUUUGCCCCAACAGCCUGAGUCCAGGGAUCACAGGCAUGAACCCCUGUGCCACACUCACUGUUCCUUGCUCCAUUCCUGUUUUUCUGCCCCUAGAUAACUAUGUCCUUCCCCUUGGAACAUUUACUUUAUUUUGAGAAGUGUCUGACUCUAAAACAAAAAGUUUGUCCAACUGAA